GUCCCAAUUCUUCAUUGCUGGUUUUAUCUUUUAUGAUGGUGAACUUUAUUUUCAGGUGCAAAGAUGUUUGAGAUCCAAGGGAAAUUGAAGCAUUUCUCAUAAUAUGUCUCUCUUGUGCUAUCUCUUUGCGUAAAUAAUGUCAUAAUAUGAUGAAAACUAUGGGGUGUGUGCCCCCCUCCUAAUCGCAGCAUUGACAUUUGCUUCAGUAACCCUGAUGAUCAGGUACCCGAUCUUCAUUUCUUCUCUAAAUUUAUGAAAUAACCCAGUUAGUCUUUUCUUUGUUGCCAUUGUGCCUUAGAUUUCUCUCUCCCAUUUUAUUGAUUUUUUCCCUGAGCUCUCAUUUAUGGUAUUGUCACUAUGGUUUUGUUUUAAAGAUGAAUGACAUUUGAUACAACAAUUUACAGAGCUGUUACCUUUAGAAAAUCUAUUCUACCAAUUCGUGUUCGUUAGUUUCA